UAGGGUUUCAACCCCAGUGAAAUUCCCAAAACCCCAUCUCUCAUUUCUUGCUCGUCUUCAUCAACUGAGCUCCUAUUUUCUUCAAUCAGCUCCUCCAUCAUCAUCAUCCCAUGACGUAACAAUCAAAUUCGUCACAGGAAGCUGAAAAAUUUAAGCUUUCAUGUGUUCUUUGUAAGUACUCUCUCUCUCUGUCUCGGCGACCUCGUUCAUUUUAGAAGCUUUUGGGGAAGUCUGAAUCAUUUUCGACAUUGAUUCUUGAAUAACUUGACUGUUGAUCAAUUAUUCUGGGGGGGAUAAUUUGAUGGGGAAAUCUGGAGGGAAGAAAAAGAAAGGAGGUGCAAACCAUGUCUCCGUGGAUGCUCCGGUGCCGAAAGCCAAUGGUGGUGUUGAUUUGGACUCGUCAGUGUUCUUGAAAAGAGCCCAUGAGCUCAAAGAAGAAGGCAAUAAGAGGUUCCAGAGCAAGGACUACGUAGGUGCUCUUGAGCAGUAUAAUAAUGCGCUUAACCUCAUGCCAAAGACCCACCCCGACAGGGCGGUGUUUCACAGCAACAGGGCUGCUUGCCUGAUGCAGAUGAAGCCCAUAGACUAUGAGACGGUGAUAGCCGAGUGCACGAUGGCGCUUCAGGUUCAGCCCAGGUUCGUCAGGGCGCUGCUUAGGAGGGCUAGGGCAUUGGAGGCCAUAGGAAAGAUCGAAAUGGCUAUGCAGGAUGUUCAGGUGUUGUUGGGGUCAGACCCGAAUAAUGGGGAUGCUUUGGAGAUUGCAAGACGAUUGCGUAUGGCGUUAGGCCCCCGCCAGGAGGCCCAGCAGGACCUCCAAAGCCAGCCGUCCGCGGCUGCUCUCGGUGCUUCUGCUGUCCGCGGGGCUCCAGUUGGUGGCCUAGGGCCAUGUUUGCCUGCCCGUCCGGUGCCUAAGAAGGGGACAUCCUCUGCAGCAGGAUCUGUUUUAUCUACGAGUAGUAAGAUAGAGAAGCCCCAACCAAUUGGAGCAACUGAAAAUGGUCCUGUGCCCAAAGCCCAAAUGCCAAAACUUGUGUUAAAGCCCCUGAGUGGUUCUUCUACUGACCCUCUGAUGAACUCGAGCGUGGAAACCAAGCAGCGGUCUUCAUCUUCGUCGGCAUCAAUAUUGCCUCUCGGUGGUCGGCACUCGAAUGUUGCUAUUCCUUUGAGGGCACUGAAGCUUGUUUAUGAUCAUGACAUAAGGCUUGCCCUGAUGCCUGUGAACUGCAGCUUUAAAGUGUUAAGGGAGAUUAUAAGCAAACGUUUUCCUUCCUCUAAGUCUGUUUUGAUCAAGUAUAGGGAUAACGACGGUGAUUUAGUGACUAUCACAUGUAGCAGUGAGCUCAGAAUGGCAGAGUCUAGCGUCGACAGUGUUAUUGAGAAAGAGCCUGAACCAGAGAAGACCGGUUCCUUCGGGUUGCUUAGGUUGCACAUUGUUGAGGUGACUUCUGAGCAGGAGCCACCUUUAGUGGAGGAAGAUGAAGAGAAGCCUUUGGAAAGUGAGGAGAACAAAGGAGAAGAAAGUCAGUCUCAUUCUUCUCUAGGUGAAUCGGUAUUAGAAGCCGGUGAUUCUGCAAUUGAUAAGAUUGAAAAAGAAGACUCGAAAGAUAAGCAGCCGGGUACUUCAGAAGAUCCAGAAUGCAAGGAUGUUGAGAUGGAUGAUUGGUUGUUUGAGUUUGCUCAGCUUUUCCGCACUCAUGUCGGUAUUGACGCCGAUGCUCACAUAGACUUGCAUGAGCUUGGUAUGGAGCUCUGCACAGAAGCACUUGAGGAAACUGUGACAAGUGAAGAAGCUCAGAAUUUGUUUGACAAGGCAGCUGCAAAAUUCCAAGAGGUAGCAGCUCUAGCUUUCUUCAACUGGGGCAAUGUCCAUAUGUGCGCAGCAAGAAAGCGCAUUCCCUUGGAUGAGUCUGCCGGGAAGGAGGUAGUAGCAGCGCAACUUCAAGUAGCUUAUGAUUGGGUGAGAGAGAAGUACUCAUUGGCCAAAGAGAAGUAUGAGGAAGCUCUCGUAAUCAAGCCAGACUUUUAUGAAGGAUUGCUUGCUUUGGGACAGCAGCAGUUUGAAAUGGCCAAACUUCACUGGUCAUUUGCUCUUGCUAAGAAAAUUGACCUAAUGAGCUGGGAUCCUGCAGAAACACUCAAACUCUUUGAUAGUGCAGAGGAGAAGAUGAAAGCCGCAACGGAGAUGUGGGAGAAGCUGGAGGAACAAAGGGCGAACGAACUGAAAGAUCCAAACUCGAGCAAGAGAGAUGAGCUGCUGAAAAGAAGGAAAAAACAAGGGGCAGAAGGUGAGCCCUUCGGGAGUGCCGGUAAUGGAGAGGUCUCGCCUGAAGAAGCCGCUGAGCAAGCUGCAGUUAUGAGAUCACAGAUCCACCUUUUCUGGGGUAAUAUGCUUUUUGAGCGAUCUCAAGUUGAGUGCAAGUUAGGGAUGGGUGGUUGGAAGGAGAAACUGGAUGCUGCCGUUGAGCGCUUUAAGCUUGCUGGAGCCUCCGAGGCUGACAUUUCAGUUGUUCUGAAGAACCACUACUCUAAUGGAGAUGCAGUGGAAGGACAUGGGAAAAGGGUUGACAACACUAACGCUGACGCAAACUUGGAAAGUGAGAAGAAGGAAGAGGUUGCUCAAGUAGCAGAGAAGUGAUUUGGAGCGCCUUCACAUCUUCUGAGUACAAAAUUAUUCUAGGGGGGACACAGGCAUUUAAUCGUUGAGGGCUACCUAAGGACGUUACUCCUACUGUCAGUUUGUAAAUCCUUGAGCUAAUAACAUUUAGUGUUCUUCUUGCUAGCUCUUCGUAGAUGAUCAAUCUGAUCUUUUGAGCUGAUACAAAGUGCAAAUUCUGUGGGCAAAGUUUGUCUUUUUCCUUAAUCGAAUUACAGCUGAAAAACAUGGAGCCCCUCAAUAACAUCUGACUCCAUCUUUCGUUCUUUGGAGGAGGAUUGUUGAUAGCUUGGG